UAAUCAAUUCUUCUUCGUUCUUCCUUCUUCCUCUUCUUCUUGUUUGUAAUGUUCCACUUCCCCUAAAAUCCACUUUCAACUUCAACAAUCAUCAACAGAAGAAGAGCGCUGCCUGCCGCUGCGACUGCUGUCUGAUUUCAUCUUUCUGUUUCGUUCUGUUCGGGAUCCGAUCGAUUCGCAGAAGAAGAAAAGAAGGAAGAAUCUUCUAAUUAAUUUAAUUUAAUGGAAGAGAAGAACUUGAUGAGCAGGAGUGCCACCAUCAUAACGAGCCCCAAGAGCACCCAGGAGCUGGCUGUCGAAGGUCAGAGGCAUCUCGAAGAAACCGUGGAGGCGGCAUUCCAUGUCCUCACCUCCAUGAAGGACGAGCUCUGCAACCCGGCCCUCUGGUCCUCCUCCUCCUCCUCCUCCAACGGCCACCCCGUCCUCCCUAUCAACAGUGGCAACGGGGACUCCUCUUCUGACUCCACCUAUCACCCUGAUAAUACCUCCGGUUCCGGAGGAGGAGUAGCUGGAGGAGGUGGAGGUGCCCUAGAAGAAGCUCGCCUCCGUUAUAAGAGCUGCGUCUCUGCUCUUCGUGCUGUUCUCUCUGCAAUCCCAAACUCCCAAAAGUUUCCAUAUUCCGGAUAUUCCAAAGUUUUGAGCAAAUUCGUUGAAAGGGUAAAGAUAUCGUCUGGUCUCGCUGAGCUUGAACAAAUCUUCUUAAUGAGGCGGCUUUGCCUUAGGCUGCUAUAUGCUCCUGGUAGUAGUUAAGUUGCCAUUUGUUCUGGUCAUUUGAUCUCAUUCACAUGGUGUGGUGGACACUGUACAGGAUGUCAUUGUAUGGCUCGAUCAUUUGAUACCAGUUCGGCUAUGGGUAGUGCAUCAGUUGCUGACGAGACCGAACUUGAGAGGUUAGAAGAGCGUGCAGCAAACCUAAGAAAGGAGCUGGAGAAGAAGAACUACUAUCUCAAGCUUCUCAUAGAUCAGCUACGUGAUCUUAUUGCGGAUACAUCGACUUGGCAAAGUCCUUGUUCUGCUUAAAGCCAGGGAUGUAAUAUAUAUAUAUAUAUAUAUACUCUACAGUCCACCAAGGUGCUCUAUCUCCUGGAACAUCGUAGAAAACGCCAGGAUGGGCUGUACUGAUUGCGUCAUCGGAAGAACUGCUGAUCCUUGGCAGAGAAUUAAUUAGUUGAUUGUUUGUAUGAGAUUCGGCUUGACUAGGUCCUCUCAGAAGGGAUGUGUUUUAUAUUCUGUUGACCUUGUGGACCUAACUGUCACAAUCUCUAAACUAUCAGUUUAAGUUCUCCGUGUCACUAUCUCUAAACUAUCGCAAUCAGUUUAAGUUCUA